CAGGAGGAUCGCUUGAGGCCAAGAGUUCAAGGCCAACCUGGGCAACAUGAUGAAGAAACUGAGGUUUAGAGAAGCCACUUGCCCAGUGUAGACAGCCGAGAAGGACAGGCCCAGGUCUGCUUGAUGAUGAAGCCAGUGUCUUCUCUGCAGUGUGAUCCUAAUCGCGUUAGGGGGUUUCCGAGGAAGCAGAGGAUUUUGCCCUUGCAUUUGAGCCACAGCAGCUCUACUGCAAACAAAGGAGAUGAGGAAGGACAGUGGGCAGGAUCUGACCAAAGUCUUUGUGAUUGAGCUUGCUCUCUUAUGCCUCUGCCGUCACCCACAGAGAAACAUGCCCAAAUUGGCCCUCUAGUCCCACGAGAAACGUGAGAAACAGAGGGAUCAGAACCAUCCUAGCUGAACUCAGCCCAGAUCAGCAGGCCUUAGUGGACCCCAAGAUGGCAGAGGGUCUGUAACUUUCACCAGAUUCUUAAGGAGUCUGUGACCUGGGAGAGUUUUAAGAGUGGGAAAGCUGUAAGGCCAUGCUCAGGCUGGAUUCCAGCCAUGGGAUCCCUCGCAUCACCUCUCUGAGCCUCAGCUUCCUCCUCUGUGCAAUGGGGCAGCCUCAUGGACAUGCAGGAUUGCAGUUCUGGACAUGCAGAGCCUGGCAUCCAGAGGAGCCCAGUGCCCGCCAACUGCAGCGCCCAGCACCAGCAACCCCAGGGUUGGGGGCUGACUCCAUUCUUCUCCCCAGGGCUGCACCAGCUCUAGCUUCCUGGCCGCCAGUUCCCCCAGCAACUUCAUUUUGUUUAUUUGCAAUGGCUUCUUGGGGUCUCCUGGCGAAAAGAUUCUCAGCUGAGUUCCAGAAAAUGAACGCACUCUCCCCGUGCUCAGAGAGCUCCCAGCUGUUCUCUUGGCUGGCCGGCUCAGAAGAAAUGAUGUUAGGAAUGUUUAUCUCGGAGGAAGUGGAAGAGCUCCUUUCAGCAAAACAAGAAUGAACCACAAAACGGGGUGCAGGGGGCCUUGUCAAGGCAUCGUAGCGUGGCGCCAUGGGAACAUCCACUUCCUUUGUCCUGCCUCAGCUGACAGUGCCUCGGAGAUGCCCUGAGCUACGUCAGCCCGGCUGGCAUCCAAGGGGCUCCUUAUUGGCUCACAAGACACGUUGCUUUUUCAGGACCAGAGAGACUUGGAGGUCCUCACCUGCACCCCCGAGCCUCUGUUUAGGCUGUGCUGUGAGGCUGGCUCUCUGUGGUCAGCAUCUCAGCGUCCCUGCCUGGCCAGCAAAGGGGUGACAUUUUCCUUGGGUGCCCUCUUGCAACACUGUGUUAAAUUCUCAAAAAGCUGCAAACCCUUAGGGUGAAGUUUGUGUCUAGAAUAUAACGGUUAAGGGCCUCGGUUCCGGAGUCGGAAUGACCAGGGUUUGGGUCCCAGCUCCAUUGCUGCCUGAGCCUCCGUUUCCCAGUGUGUGGAGCAGCUGGUAACCAGCAUUCCUACUCCCAUGGGUGUUGGAGACUUGAAUGACUUCGUCAUUACAAAGCGUUCAGCACAGGUUAAGUGCUGAUAGGCAGAAAGGAGAUAAUCAGUGGUAGCGAUUAUUAUUUUAGUUGUCUGCUUAUAAAAUCAGAAAAUCAGAAAUAGAAAAAUACAAAGAAGAAAAUCAAAAGUGCAUGUAGCCCCACGGCCCGGCGAUCCGCACCGCUGGCCUUUUGUUAGCUCUCGUUCCUGUUUUUUUUUCCUGUCGGUGUGUAUGCGUGUGUAUUUCAUAGGAUCUGGUCAUUGUUGAGUGAGGAUAGUUUAUGUAUGUAUAGACAUGUUAGUUUUUUCUUAAUACCAGGCAUAAUAUAUCUUAACCCACUUUUUUAAAACUUAAAAAUAUAUGGAGAACACAUUCUCCAAAUCAUUACAUUUUACCAUAUUGCAUAUUUUUUCACUUUGUAAUGUUUCAAAGUAAGGAUGUGUUUUAGAAUCAAUGUCAAAAGCAAUGUGCCAGCUAUUUCUUCUUUUUUUCCCCCCAAAAUGGGGGUUAUGAUAACACUGAUAAUACAAAUAACAAAUGAUGGCCUCUCAGAUUCAAAGAAACACAGCAGCCUAAAAGAUCCUUCUUAAAUUCCACAAAGGAUUCUUC